AUGAACCUAUUUGAAGUGGCCCAUUUCGUACCAGAAAAGUCCAUGUAUGAACAAGGGUUUAUUUUACUUCCACACUUAGCUACUCUAGGUUGGGGAGUAGGGCCAGGGGGAGAAGUUCUAGAUACUUUUCCGUACUUUGUAUCUGGAGUACUUCACCUAAUUUCCUCCGCUGUCUUCUCCCUAAGUUUUGCUAAAACCGGCAACGUAAAGUUUUUCAUUUUUUCUUUUUGA
rnacentral:rRNA from 1 species